rnacentral:rRNA from 1 species
ACUCCGUACGGGAGGCAGCAGUGGGGAAUAUUGCACAAUGGGCGCAAGCCUGAUGCAGCAACGCCGUGUGAGUGAAGAAGGUUUUCGGAUCGUAAACUCUGUCCUAAGGGAAGAAACAAAUGACGGUACCUUAGGAGGAAGCCCCGGCUAACUACGUGCCAGCAGCCGCGGUAAUACGUAGGGGCAAGCGUUUAUCCGGAAUCACUGGGCGUAAAGGGUGCGUAGGCGGCUUAGCAAGCCAGGGUGAAAGGCAUUGGCUCAACCAAUGUAAGCCUUUGGAACUGUUAGGCUUGAGUGCAGGAGAGGUAAGUGGAUUCCUAGUGUAGAGGUGAAAUUCGUAGAUAUUAGGAGGAACACCAGUGGCGAAGGCGACUUACUGGACUGUAACUGACGCUGAUGCACGAAAAGCGUGGGUAGCGAACAGGAUUAGAU